AACACACAUAUGCGAUAACUGACACUUAAAAAUAGCGCACUUUCGCCUGUAGCCAGGGUACAUAGGAAGGAACAUCAUGACUCUCUCUUUAAUUGGGUAUGCUGGAUUGGUGUCAUGAAGCAUUGAAAGAGAAAAUGGUGCCCAGAAUAUAAAACUGAACAAUAACCAGAAGGGUGUUUCUUUUGACUGCUUGGUGUUUCGGUGUAAGGUUAACAGACUUCAGCUUUGGCAAUGUAAUGGACGUGUACUACACAGUGAUGUCACCUUUCUCUGGUGGACUUUCUUCUGUGAUGGCAAUUUGCGACACCACCAUCUGAUCAAGGCAGCCACCUUUGAUACUAGAAUGAAGGUGGUACCUUACCUGUCCACGAAAUUGAUUUCCUCAGAUCCUCUCAUAAGAAGCCUGGAAACAUAUGAAGCCUGAAUUAAGAAUACUUAUGUUAGGCAGAAUGCCCAGUGGGGGCUAAACUGUCUUUUGGCCUUGGAACACCUGUGGCUUUUUUUUCACCAGUUUAACUGGAGGUUUUUUUUUGGUUUUGUUUUGCUUUUUCGGUCCUCCCACACAUCUGCCCAUAUCACCGGACUCAUCUUUAUAGACAUACAUCCUGAGAUUUUACAUUAAAUAAGUCAAAUGUGCUUUAGCAGGGGGCCAUUGACUUUGUAGUUGGGAGGUGGCCGAGUACAAAGACUUAUAUGCAGGAGGUGGGAGGUCAGGAUUUUGUGACACAGUAUAAGUUUGUAUGCUUGAUGAUACUUAAAGGUAAGAAAGUUAGGAUGCUAUUCCACCAGGCAGUCAAGCUAACAAUAUGCUUAGGUGGGCCCAGAGAAAAAAAAACACACUUGCUUGUUUAUAUCAACUUUACUCUGUUAGAAUACCUGUGUAUUCUGUUACAUGUGACAACGUAAGUGGUAAGGCUGAUCAUUUUAAUGUCAAAUUCAUGGUAGCGGCCUACAUAUUUGCCACUGAAAAACUUUGUAACAAAUCAACUCAGCUUUAAUCUCAUGGAAAAGUCAAAACACUCGGUAAACACAAUAGAAAGUGCUGUGUGCAAAUGUAUGAAAAGCUAACCUUAACAAACCACAGUGAAACAUUGAAGGCUCAUAUUAUAAAAUACAAUUCUGUAGCUCGAUGUGAGAGAUAACCGUACUUUUCUAAAGUAAUAAACAACAGUGCUAGAAAUCUAAGAGUAUUAUUUUCAACUCACACCACUGAAUAUGACAUUAUCAAAGGAAUAGAUACUGAAGCCAUCAGUGGCUAAAUGUGAGACUUAGACAGUACUGUUCUUCAGAUAAAAUACAUAAAAUACCAUGUAGUAUAACACCAACCUUAAAGAGAAACUUCAAUAUUGUGAACAUGGUGAAUUAAACUCCUUUACUAAAAUAAGACUAGCUGCUCUUUGUAGAAUAAUUAUUCACACAAUUCACAUGUAUCCUUAGUUGUAGAUUCUACAGGCUUUUCAAAAGAAGUCUCGACCUGCUAACUGACAGUUUACAGGUCAUAGAUAACUGUUCAUUUAAUUUCAGAUUUGUCUUGGACAAAUUUACCUACU